AUAGCUCUGCCACUGAAUGCCACUCUGUUGAAGUGUGAUUUCUAGUCUUCUGGGAGGCAGUUAGAGAAAUGUCAAUUUCCUGAGUCCUCCACAGUGCUCAAUGGCUCAAUGAUAGCCUGUGCUCAGAGGAAGCGGGUUAAAUAUUGUUAUAUGUCAUUCAACCAGGCAGCAGGGCAAUGAUGUUGGCAAUCAUACAACCCAGAAGAGGAGCACAAGCUGCUGAAGGAGCAGAUCUUCUGCGAGGUAACAGCGCUUGAUUGAAGUCUUAUAUACAGAUCCCAUUGCGGAGAAGGCCACCAGUCGCGCAGUGUGCAACAGGCGUCAAGACCAACCAAGUAGAUGGCCAGAUUUCAGUCACUUCCAGUUAGACUAAUAGACCAAAAUGACUCUUUUCACAAAGAAACUCUCUUUAAAGUAACCAGCUCGAAACUUCAAGUACUGAUGGCAUGAAGAACAAAGAUUUCAGUGAGCAAUACAUGAAUUCAUGCAGAGCAUCAUGGGAUGUCCUCUCAUCUCUAGUGAAGAUCAAUGUGGACAUGUAAAAGAGCAUUGAUCAAACACCUGCUAUCUUUGCCUGAGCAGAAAAAUAUUGAUAUUCUAUAUGUUUGAACAAACCACAUGAUAUAUAAUGACUUCAUUGUACACAGCAAACAUCCAGAAGAACACUAAGCACAUUGCUAAUAUUAAAUAAGUGUCUAAUUUUAUUAAAAAGAACCAGUAAGGGA